rnacentral:rRNA from 1 species
GAGUUUGAUCAUGGCUCAGGACGAACGCUGGCGGCGCGCCUAACACAUGCAAGUCGAGCGAGAAUUUAGUUUCGGAUUCUUCGGAUGAAGAAGCUAAAGGAAAGCGGCGGACGGGUGAGUAACGCGUGGGAAACCUGCCUUAUGCAGAGGGAUAGCCUCGGGAAACUGGGAUUAAUACCUCAUAAUACUCUAGUAUCGCAUGAUACGAGAGUCAAAGUGAUUCAGCGGCAUAAGAUGGUCCCGCGUCCCAUUAACUAGUUGGUAAGGUAACGGCUUACCAAGGUGACGAUGGGUAGCCGGCCUGAGAGGGUGAACGGCCACACUGGAACUGAGACACGGUCCAGACUCCUACGGGAGGCAGCAGUGGGGAAUAUUGCACAAUGGGGGAAACCCUGAUGCAGCGACGCCGCGUGAGCGAUGAAGGUUUUCGAAUCGUAAAGCUCUGUCCUAUGGGAAGAAAAACGACGGUACCAUAGGAGGAAGCCCCGGCUAACUACGUGCCAGCAGCCGCGGUAAUACGUAGGGGGCGAGCGUUGUCCGGAAUUAUUGGGCGUAAAGGGUGUGUAGGCGGUCUAGUAAGUCAGAUGUGAAAGCCAUCGGCUCAACCGAUGUAAGCAUUUGAAACUACUGGACUUGAGUGCAG